GAUAGCCCUAUGAUGGGAAACUAUCACGUUAGGUUUGGAGAGAGAUUGGACCUAUUAUUAUAUUAAAUAGGGAGAGCUACUAUUGGAUUUGAACCCAGAAAGUAUUCCAACUCUGC
rnacentral:ncRNA from 1 species